rnacentral:rRNA from 1 species
GGAGUUAGCCGGUGCUUCUUCUGUGAGUGAUGUCCUUCCUGCCGGCUAUUAACCCGCAGGCCUUCUUCCUCACUGAAAGUGCUUUACAACCCGAAGGCCUUCUUCACACACGCGGCAUGGCUGGAUCAGGGUUGCCCCCAUUGUCCAAUAUUCCCCACUGCUGCCUCCCGUAGGAGUCUGGGCCGUGUCUCAGUCCCAGUGUGGCUGAUCAUCCUCUCAGACCAGCUACGGAUCGUCGCCUUGGUGAGCCGUUACCUCACCAACCAGCUAAUCCGACAUAGGCUCAUCCGAUAGCGCGAGGCCCGAAGGUCCCCCGCUUUCCCCCGUAGGGCGUAUGCGGUAUUAGCCUGGGUUUCCCCAGGUUAUCCCCCACUACCGGGCAGAUUCCUAUGCAUUACUCACACGUCCGCCGCUCGCCACCAGGGAGCAAGCUCCCCGUGCUGCCGCUCGACUUGCAUGUGUUAGGCCUGCCGCCAGCGUUCAAUCUGAGCAGANCAACUACUGA